GGGGGACUCAGAGUGAAGUCUGAGGGCACCGGGAGGCCGGCCCAGGGGCUGGGAAGGCUCCCCGCAGAGGAGGGCCUGGGAGCAGGAGCAACACGCAGGUGUUGGCAUCUCCUGGCUGAGACCCUCACUUCCUCCUGGGACCGAGAGACCUUCCCCUGCCGCUGUCUACAGAGCAGCCCCGGACCUGCACCCGACGCUGAGCGGACAGUGCCACCUGUUGACGCUGAGACGGACCACGCGCUCCUUCCCAGGCCGGCUCCAGGUACUGGGGAUCGAACUCAGGUCCUUGUGCUUGCGGAGCAGGCAGUGGAACCACUGAGCUAAAUCCUCAGCAGUUUCUUCACCUUUUAAUGAUGCUGUUAAACGGUUUUAUUUCAUGAUCUGUCUGUUGAGCUGUGAGACAGUUUGAGGGAAGGAGGGCAGAGGCACCUGACAUGUGGCUUCCAACAAUUUCCAUGAUGUAAAUACGCCCAGCAUGGCCCAUGACUGCUGAUUUCAAGCUACUGAGGAGACGGAUGAUAGUGGACAAGGUAGGAAGGAAUGUACACGUGUGCUGUAUCACCUAGCCCUGCUACACCACAGUGUCUUUCUGAGCUAGUCUGAUUCCACCUGUAGCAUCCAUCUAGAAUAUCACCAGCAAGGCGGAAAUAGAGAGUACCCUGUUCUCGGCCAGGCUUCGGGCACACGGAGACAUCUGGACAGCAGUGACAGUGAUGGGCGCAGAUGAAGAUAACACUCUCAUGAGUGUCAACGUGACUAGAUCUAGAGAACAUCUCCAAGUGCUGACUUACUAGGAGUCCAUUUCUUCAUUAUGAAUAAAUAAAUAAAUACUUG
rnacentral:lncRNA from 1 species